AUACGGAGGGUGCAAGCGUUACUCGGAAUCACUGGGCGUAAAGCGCGCGCAGGCGGGCUGAUAAGUUGGAUGUGAAAGCCUACGGCUCAACCGUAGAACUGCAUCCAAAACUGUCAGUCUAGAGUCUGCGAGGGGAAGAUGGAAUUAGUUGUGUAGGGGUAAAAUCCGUAGAGAUAACUAGGAAUACCAAAAGCGAAGGCGAUCUUCUGGAACAGUACUGACGCUGAGGCGCGAAAGCGUGGGGAGCAAACAGAAUUAGAAACCCUAGUAGUCC
rnacentral:rRNA from 1 species